rnacentral:rRNA from 1 species
UACAGAGGUCUCGAGCGUUGUUCGGAUUCAUUGGGCGUAAAGGGUGCGUAGGUGGCGCUGUAAGUCAGGUGUGAAAUUUCGGAGCUUAACUCCGAAACUGCAUUUGAUACUGCGGUGCUAGAGGACUGGAGAGGAGACUGGAAUUUACGGUGUAGCAGUGAAAUGCGUAGAGAUCGUAAGGAAGACCAGUGGCGAAGGCGGGUCUCUGGACAGUUCCUGACACUGAGGCACGAAGGCCAGGGGAGCAAACGGG